rnacentral:misc_RNA from 1 species
AUCGCUGAGUGGUGAACUCAGUGGCUAUAAUUUAAAAUGUAAUAAAAUAUACAUUGACAAUAAUUAUAUAAAAAAUUUUGGAGUUUCGAAACUUAACCAAUUUCCAAAUGUCAAAAUUUUCAUUGCCAAUAAUAAUACUCACUUGUUAAAAUAACAUUGAUCAAAAUUUUAAUUUGUCAAAUCACAACUGAACAAUAAAAAUAAUUCCUGCAAUUAUGGAAAUAAAUAAUUGUCACGACCCAACCUAUGGG